CCUACGGGUGGCAGCAGUUAUUACUAUUUUUCCCUUUUCUUUCUCCUGCCCCCGCCCCGCCGCGUGAGGGAUGAAGGUACAGAGUAUCGUAAACCUCUUUUGUCAGGGAACAAAGGCGGGGACGUGUCCCCGGAUGAGUGUACCUGAAGAAAAAGCAUCGGCUAACUCCGUGCCAGCAGCCGCGGUAAUACGGAGGAUGCGAGCGUUAUCCGGAUUUAUUGGGUUUAAAGGGUGCGCAGGCGGUCUGUUAAGUCAGCGGUCAAAGCCCGGGGCUCAACCCCGGCCCGCCGUUGAAACUGGCAGUCUCGAGUUGGAGAGAAGUAUGCGGAAUGCGCGGUGUAGCGGUGAAAUGCAUAGAUAUCGCGCAGAACUCCGAUUGCGAAGGCAGCAUGCCGGCUCCACACUGACGCUGAGGCACGAAAGCGUGGGUAUCGAACAGGAUUAGAUACCCCUGUAGUC
rnacentral:rRNA from 1 species